rfam:Spinacia oleracea cultivar SynViroflay scaffold24668.con0003.1, whole genome shotgun sequence.
AUUGGCCGAUGAUGAUUUAAAAUUUUGCCUACAUUGUCUGACAAAUUACAUGAUAAUGAAUAUGCAGUUCUGAGGCCUUU